CGGUGUGAUUGGCGCAGCCCGUAGCGCACUUCGUUCGGGACGAAGGGCCGGAGGUUCGAACUUCAUCACCGACCA
rnacentral:tRNA from 1 species